GGGCUCAUAGUUCAAUUGGCAGAACACCGCAUUCGCAUUGCGAAGGUUGCCGGUUCAACUCCGGCUGAGUCCA
rnacentral:tRNA from 1 species